rnacentral:rRNA from 1 species
GAGUUUGAUCCUGGCUCAGGACGAACGCUGGCGGCGUGCCUAAUACAUGCAAGUCGAGCGGACAGAAGGGAGCUUGCUCCCGGAUGUUAGCGGCGGACGGGUGAGUAACACGUGGGUAACCUGCCUGUAAGACUGGGAUAACUCCGGGAAACCGGAGCUAAUACCGGAUAGUUCCUUGAACCGCAUGGUUCAAGGAUGAAAGACGGUUUCGGCUGUCACUUACAGAUGGACCCGCGGCGCAUUAGCUAGUUGGUGAGGUAACGGCUCACCAAGGCGACGAUGCGUAGCCGACCUGAGAGGGUGAUCGGCCACACUGGGACUGAGACACGGCCCAGACUCCUACGGGAGGCAGCAGUAGGGAAUCUUCCGCAAUGGACGAAAGUCUGACGGAGCAACGCCGCGUGAGUGAUGAAGGUUUUCGGAUCGUAAAGCUCUGUUGUUAGGGAAGAACAAGUGCAAGAGUAACUGCUUGCACCUUGACGGUACCUAACCAGAAAGCCACGGCUAACUACGUGCCAGCAGCCGCGGUAAUACGUAGGUGGCAAGCGUUGUCCGGAAUUAUUGGGCGUAAAGGGCUCGCAGGCGGUUUCUUAAGUCUGAUGUGAAAGCCCCCGGCUCAACCGGGGAGGGUCAUUGGAAACUGGGAAACUUGAGUGCAGAAGAGGAGAGUGGAAUUCCACGUGUAGCGGUGAAAUGCGUAGAGAUGUGGAGGAACACCAGUGGCGAAGGCGACUCUCUGGUCUGUAACUGACGCGAGAGCAAAGCGGA